GCCUGGCUGGCUCAGUCAGUAGAGCAUGUAACUCUUGAUCUCAGGGCUGUGAGUUCAAGUCCCACGUUGGGCA
rnacentral:tRNA from 1 species